rnacentral:other from 17 species
GUAGCGCCCGGUCACCCGACUGGGCGAGGAUUGAAAC